AGCUACGGACUUAAAAUUGUAGUAAAAAGAAAAUCCGUUGGCUUUAUUGACCGUGAGGGUUCAAGUCCCUCUACCCCCAAAAUUAUAAUUUUUUAU
rnacentral:tRNA from 1 species